AGUUGAGUAGUUAAAUAAAAAUAUUUUGUUGCAAGCAAAAAGUUGCGAAAUUUCGCUUCAACUU
rnacentral:tRNA from 1 species